GACGAACGCUGGCGGCGUGCUUAACACAUGCAAGUCGAACGCUGAAGCUCAGCUUUUGUUGGGUGGAUGAGUGGCGAACGGGUGGGUAACACGUGAGUAACCUGCCUCCUUCUUUGGGAUAACGCCCGGAAACGGGUGCUAAUACUGGAUAUUCACUGGUCUUCGCAUGGGGGUUGGUGGAAAGGGUUUUUCUGGUGGGGGAUGGGCUCGCGGCCUAUCAGCUUGUUGGUGGGGCGAUGGCCUACCAAGGCUUUGACGGGUAGCCGGCCUGAGAGGGUGACCGGUAACAUUGGGACUGAGAUACGGCCCAGACUCCUACGGGAGGCAGCAGUGGGGAAUAAUGUACAAUGGGCGCAAGCCUGAUGCAGCGACGCCGCGUGAGGGAUGGAGGCCUUCGGGUUGUGAACCUCUUUCGCUCAUGGUCAAGCCGCAACAAUGGUUGUGGUGAGGGUAGUGGGUAAAGAAGCGCCGGCUAACUACGUG
rnacentral:rRNA from 1 species